rnacentral:rRNA from 1 species
AGAAUCAACGCUGGCGGCGUGCCUAACACAUGCAAGUCGAACGAGAAAGUGGUAGCAAUACCAUGAGUACAGUGGCGCACGGGUGAGUAACACGUGACUAACCUACCCUGGAGUGGGGGAUAACUGAGGGAAACCUUAGCUAAUACCGCAUAAUACCUACGGGUCAAAGGAGCAAUUCGCUUCAGGAGGGGGUCGCGGCCGAUUAGUUAGUUGGCGGGGUAAUGGCCCACCAAGACAGUGAUCGGUAUCCGGCCUGAGAGGGCGCACGGACACACUGGAACUGAAACACGGUCCAGACUCCUACGGGAGGCAGCAGUGGGGAAUUUGCGCAAUGGGGGAAACCCUGACGCAGCAACGCCGCGUGGAGGAUGAAGUCCUUCGGGACGUAAACUCCUUUCGAUCGGGACGAUAAUGACGGUACCGGAAGAAGAGCCCGGCUAACUCGCGCCAGCAGCCGC